rnacentral:rRNA from 1 species
GGGGAAUAUUGGACAAUGGGGGCAACCCUGAUCCAGCCAUGCCGCGUGAGUGAUGAAGGCCUUAGGGUUGUAAAGCUCUUUCGUCAGGGAAGAUAAUGACGGUACCUGAAGAAGAAGCCCCGGCUAACUUCGUGCCAGCAGCCGCGGUAAUACGAAGGGGGCUAGCGUUGUUCGGAAUUACUGGGCGUAAAGCGCACGUAGGCGGACAUUUAAGUCAGGGGUGAAAUCCCGGGGCUCAACCCUGGAACUGCCUUUGAUACUGGGUGUCUUGAGUACGAGAGAGGUGAGUGGAAUUCCGAGUGUAGAGGUGAAAUUCGUAGAUAUUCGGAAGAACACCAGUGGCGAAGGCGGCUCACUGGCUCGUAACUGACGCUGAGGUGCGAAAGCGUGGGGAGCAAAC